rnacentral:rRNA from 1 species
GAUAAACGCUGGCGGCGCACAUAAGACAUGCAAGUCGAACGGACUUAACUCAUUCUUUUAGAUUGAGAGCGGUUAGUGGCGGACUGGUGAGUAACACGUAAGCAACCUGCCUAUUAGAGGGGAAUAACAGUGAGAAAUCAUUGCUAAUACCGCAUGAGACCUGAGGGUGAAAGCGGGGGAUCGCAAGACCUCGCGCAAUUGGAGCGGCCGAUGCCCGAUUAGCUAGUUGGUGAGGUAAAGGCUCACCAAGGCGACGAUCGGUAGCUGGUCUGAGAGGACGACCAGCCACACUGGGACUGAGACACGGCCCAG